ACGCUCGACACCUACGGGGGGCAGCAGUGGGGAAUAUUGCACAAUGGGGGAAACCCUGAUGCAGCGACGCCGCGUGAAGGAAGAAGUAUUUCGGUAUGUAAACUUCUAUCAGCAGGGAAGAAGAUGACGGUACCUGACUAAGAAGCCCCGGCUAACUACGUGCCAGCAGCCGNGGUAAUCUGAGCGGGCUGGCAAGGC
rnacentral:rRNA from 1 species